rnacentral:rRNA from 1 species
UACGUAGGGUGCGAGCGUUAAUCGGAAUUACUGGGCGUAAAGCGUGCGCAGGCGGUGAUGUAAGACCGAUGUGAAAUCCCCGGGCUUAACCUGGGAACUGCAUUGGUGACUGCAUUGCUGGAGUAUGGCAGAGGGGGGUGGAACUCCACGUGUAGCAGUGAAAUGCGUAGAGAUGUGGAGGAACACCGAUGGCGAAGGCAGCCCCCUGGGCCAAUACUGACGCUCAUGCACGAAAGCGUGGGGAGCAAACAGG